UUGGCCCCGUACUGACAUUGUUAAAAUACUGGUAAGUAUAUGUUUGCUCAGUUCACAUUAUCAUAUAUUAGAAUAUUUGAAUGAAUAGAAUACUCUCUCCAAUAUGGUCUGAGAAUCACAAUUUCCACCAGGUUAAUGAUGUCAAUUUCUUAACCCAGUAGUUACAUAUUAUAAAAUCAGGCAAGCCAACCACAAAUGGGCACUAAAAAUGGAAUGCUAACUUAAGUUUAUAUGUCAAUUUUACAUCUGUUGAUGUACCAAUACAACAGAGCUAUCUCUGGUACGGUUCAAGCACUGGUGAUUCUGAUUCUCAGGUAAGCACUUCAUGUGCUAUGGUUGUCGAGUUAUUCAAGUCCCAAAUUUGUCCAAGUAAUGCCUUCAGUACUUAAAAUGAUCUGUCUUGCAGGCUUCAGGGGCAUACAUUUUCCGGCCUAAUGGGGCACCUCCAACUGUUGUUUCAAGUCCAGUAAGUAAUUUCUUGCAGUUCAAUGUUCCACUAAAGGUCAUUCGUGGAGCUUUAGUUGAUGAGAUUCACCAAGAGUUUAAUUCAUGGAUCUAUCAGGUUAUUAACAUAUUUUCGGAUUUAAAAUUUUAGGUCAUAAUGUAAGAACCAGAACUUGUUCUCUUAUAAUAGUAUCAAACAAAAAUGAAACACAAUCAGAUUGCAAUUUUCUGCUCUUGGGAACUAUCAGACCAUAGAUUUAGUGUGUGUAGUUCUGACAACUCUUUAUUUUGAAAGAUUGGUCCAAUGAGGGAAAAUUGAGAAUGUGUUGAAUUGCUAUGUUAUAGGCUUUCUGGUAGAAUG